rnacentral:rRNA from 1 species
GACGGGGGGGGCAAGUGUUCUUCGGAAUGACUGGGCGUCAAGGGCACGUAGGCGGUGAAUCGGGUUGAAAGUGAAAGUCGCCAAAAAGUGGCGGAAUGCUCUCGAAACCAAUUCACUUGAGUGGGACAGAGGAGAGUGGAAUUUCGUGUGUAGGGGUGAAAUGCGUAGAUAUCCGGAGGAACACCAGUGGCGAAAGCGGCCACCUGGACUGUACCUGACGCUCAAACGCGAAAGCUAGGGGAGCGAACGGG